UUGGCCUCGGAUCAGGUGGGAUUACCC
rnacentral:rRNA from 1 species